rnacentral:lncRNA from 1 species
AGAAUAACAAGUGUCUUCAGGGAUGCCUACAGCUAGAGAAGUUUGGCGUCUUAUGAUCUCUAGAACAUGCCCUUGCAGGGACUCCAGAUGUUGAUGUGUGGAUCACAAGCCUCCCCUAGACAGCUCCAGCACCCCACUCCCUGCGCCUGCGGUCCACCCUGCACACAGCUCCCCCAGGCAGAGGCCUCCUUCCCACUGCAUGUCACUCCCACAGACUCCCCAUCUCAAGGCUAAAAAGCCAUCAGCAACCAGAUCCAAAUGUUAAUGUCAUUGAGAAACACCUUGACUGACACACCCAGAAUAAUGUUUGAGCAAACAUCCGGGCUCUCCAUGGCUCAGUCAAACUGGCACAUCAUACUCUGAGUGAGAUUGGAAGACACUGAGGCUGAGUGACUUGGGCAAUGAUUCAGCAAUACCAACUGUGAACUCUCAAUGACUUGGGCUAAUGAGAAGAAUGACAUGGAUAAUCUAAAAAUAAUGGACAACUGGAAAAAACAUCAGCCUGCUUGUGGAGCACACCAGGUCAUGAUUUCUGCAGUGGGGGAGGAGCUGAUUUGCUUCAUUCAUUCUAGAACCUCUAUUCUAGCUGAUGUUAAAUCUGGUUGUUUUUGAGAGCACUCAUAGCCAUCAUGCCCAUCUCUGUAUCACAGGGGUUUGGGAAAAGAAACUCUUCUGGCCAAGGAUGGAAGAAUAAAAACAUAACUGAGUUCCAGAUAU